UUUUUUGUCAAUGUGGGACUCUUAACACUCCCCCUCAAGUGGACAACCGGGCCAUUUUGAAUCUAACCGGUUGACCACUUGAAAUUGGACCAAACCCUCCCCUGAAACGAAAGCUCUGGACGCCACCAAAGUGGAC